CCUACCAAGGCGACGAUGGUUAGCUGGUCUGAGAGGAUGAUCAGCCACACUGGAACUGAGACACGGUCCAGACUCCUACGGGAGGCAGCAGUGAGGAAUAUUGCGCAAUGGGGGCAACCCUGACGCAGCAACGCCGCGUGAGUGAGGAAGGUUUUCGGACCGUAAAGCUCUGUCGAGCGGGAAGAAAUGCAUGGUGGCUAAUAUCCAUCAUGCUUGACGGUACCGCUAAAGGAAGCACCGGCUAACUCCGUGCCAGCAGCCGCGGUAAUACGGGGGGUGCGAGCGUUGUUCGGAAUUAUUGGGCGUAAAGAGCGUGUAGGCGGCCGAAUAAGUCAGAUGUGAAAUCCCUGGGCUUAACCCAGGACGUGCAUUUGAAACUAUUCGGCUAGAGUAGGGGAGAGGAAAGUGGAAUUCCUGGUGUAGAGGUGAAAUUCGUAGAUAUCAGGAGGAACACCGGUGGCGAAGGCGACUUUCUGGCCCUAUACUGACGCUGAGACGCGAGAGCGUGGGUAGCAAACAGGAUUAGAUACCCUGGUAGUCCACGCUGUAAACGAUGUUCACUAGGUGUUGGGGGUAUUGACCCUCUCAGUGCCGCAGCUAACGCA
rnacentral:rRNA from 1 species